GGUUUGAACUAGAUGACUUUUAAAGGUCCCUUCCAACCCAGGCUGUUCUAUGACUCUGAUUCUAUGAUUUUAACAAAUGUAUACUAAUGGUAUUUGUAAUUUAAUACUACUAGACUGAGGACUAUUUCAGUUAAAUCAUUAUCCUACAGAAAGAUUCCAGGGGAUAUAGGGGACUAGAAAUGCUGACAAAGUUAUUUACAGCAAUCUACUAGUAUCACCAGCUGCUUCAGUUUUACAGCCUGAUACCCACCACUCCAGCUCUGUUGGAGUGUUAACUCUCUGAUUAUUUCUGUGUGUACCAGGAUCCUCUCCAUCUUUGAAUGUCCAUAUUUCAGCCCCAGGUAGAUAUAAUUUACUUGUUCUGCAUGUCUUGUCCUUCUAACAUUUUCCUCUAAUUUUUCCAAAGACUCAGAAGAAAGGCACAGGAUAAAAUCAUGCUGACUGGGCUGAAGCAAGCCAUGCCAUCAUCUUUCCUGGACUACCUGUGCUAGAUAAUUCUCUAAAAGCCAGUCAUAAAUGUUGAAUCCACUUAUAGACACCACUGAGGAGAAAGUUCGAGCUUGGCUUCAGAAUUGUGCCUGGGGCUGGAUAUUGAUGUAUGAAAUCUCAGCUUGGAAACAAAUCAUCGUUUGUACAAGAUUGCAAAGAAAUCCAAUUGGCUGGAGGGACCUCGUCAGAUCUGUUGCAGCGAUUGCCUCCACGGGAGAACUGCAAGGUGGUGUCAUUCAGCCCAAAGGUGGCAGAUUUUGCAGGGGAGAUGGAGGAGCUCGUAUGGGUCUGUAUUUGUUUGGUGCUUACAUGUGAGGGGCUGUGUGCUGGACACCUUUGGCAGCUCUAUGCUCAGGCUUCAUCUUUCAUGUGUUAGGCUGUCUGUUGCAAGAAACAAAUAAAUAAAAUUGUCAGUUUGAGAUCUGUCAUAUUUAUCAGCCUGUCCCCAGACAGAGUGCUUAUGGUUGAGAAUGUUUCUUGGGAGGAUAAAAGAUUUUCACUUUAUUUACAGAAUAAGCCCUGUUUCUGCUCCCAGGUUUAAGACAGGCAUUACAAGUGUUGGUCUUCUUCUACCAGCUUUGGGCUUCAGGUUUGCAGCUAAGAGAAGCCCAGUGCUUGAAAAGGAAUCAGGCAGGUCCUCCCUCGGCUCAGGCAGGAAUUCAAGGAGCUACUUCUUCCCAGGAGGGCACUUAGCAAUGAGGAAAAGCAGAGCCAGGGCUGGCCAAAAGUCCUGUGUAUCUACUUCACUGGCACACUUCAAGUUAUUCUAAACUGCACUAAGGGGAUUUCACAAGCCCUCCAAGAGCUCCUUCCCUCUGUCCUACUGUUGCAUUCAAAAUGGAUGGAGCAAGAAAUGUUCCCAUCGAACCUCUUUUUCCUUCCAGUGAAAUAGUUGUGUGCAUAUCAUCCAGCAAGACUCACACAAGGCGGCAGUCCGUGGGAGGUGUGCACUCUGAUGGGCUUUCUGGGACUAUCAGAAGCUC